rnacentral:rRNA from 1 species
UGAGGAGUGGCUUCCGGAGCUAACGCGUUAAGUCGACCGCCUGGGGAGUACGGCCGCAAGGUUAAAACUCAAAUGAAUUGACGGGGGCCCGCACAAGCGGUGGAGCAUGUGGUUUAAUUCGAUGCAACGCGAAGAACCUUACCUACUCUUGACAUCCAGAGAACUUAGCAGAGAUGCUUUGGUGCCUUCGGGAACUCUGAGGCAGGUGCUGCAUGGCUGUCGUCAGCUCGUGUUGUGAAAUGUUGGGUUAAGUCCCGCAACGAGCGCAACCCUUAUCCUUUGUUGCCAGCGGCUAGGCCGGGAACUCAAAGGAGACUGCCAGUGAUAAACUGGAGGAAGGUGGGGAUGACGUCAAGUCAUCAUGGCCCUUACGAGUAGGGCUACACACGUGCUACAAUGGCGCAUACAAAGAGAAGCGACCUCGCGAGAGCAAGCGGACCUCAUAAAGUGCGUCGUAGUCCGGAUUGGAGUCUGCAACUCGACUCCAUGAAGUCGGAAUCGCUAGUAAUC